rnacentral:rRNA from 1 species
CCCUUAGAUGUUCUGGGCCGCACGCGUGCUACACUGAGUAAAUCAAUGGGUAAGGGAACACGAAAGUGCAACCUAAUCUUGAAAUUUGCUCGUGAUGGGGAUCGACGGUUGCAAUUUUCCGCCGCGAACGAGGAAUACCUUGUAGGCGCGUGUCAUCAUCACGCGCCGAAUACGUCCCUGCCCUUUGUACACACCGCCCGUCGCUCCUACCGAUUGAAUGCUCAGGUGAGCCAUUCGGACUUUCAUCAUGCUGGUUUCCAGUUUUGAUGAAGGAAAGUCUUGCGAACCUUAUCAUUUAGAGGAAGGAGAAGUCGUAACA